UUUUUCCCCAUUCUCCGUUCUUUUCAAACGUCAUAUGAACGCAAUCGUUGAGCAGUUCAGUAUUUGCAUACAACGUUCCGUUCCCUUAUCCUCAGCAGUUGCUCGUCGUCUUCAUUCACCCUUUUCAUUUUCCGUUCUUCCUCCCAUUUUUCCUUUUUUUUAAAAAAAAGUUUGCUUAUAAUUCCAUUGAUUUUGCAGGUUUAAGUGAAGAUAAACUUGGGGUCUGAAACGAAACACCGAGCUGGCCAUUGAAUGAUAUGAGGUAGCUAUGGCGAGAUGUUGUGUACAUCAACUCUUUCAUGAACCGGGUGAUUAUGGCUUUGGCCGGAAAUAUCUCUGUCUUCAUCAAAAUCCUCUGCGUCCGGUCGUUGUUGGAUUCCGACUAUAUCCAAAGUCGAGUCGGAUUAGGAGCUAUUCAUGUUGCUAUAUCAAUUAUGCUAUACUGUGAUGUUUGUUGAUGGCUAGUGUGCCCGGAAGAUCUUUAGCGAGAGGACAAGCAAAUCAGCAUCGAAGGAAGCAAGCAAGCAAUGGUUUUUUUUAAUAAAAUGCCAAACGAACAAAUUCCGAAAAAGCAGUGGCAAUGAAUUAUGGAAGAAUAAGGGGACCAUUACUGGAAUUAUUGAAACUUGCCAUUGAGAAGGAAAACCAUAUGAACUCUUUUUGGACAACUUGGAUACAUAUACAUGUAAACGACAUAAUACUAGCGGACGAUAAUAACUUGGAUUAGAUUAAGGAUUGACAUAAAAUAUUUUAAAA